rnacentral:lncRNA from 1 species
AUUAAACAAAGGAUGUGAGAUCGGAAAGAGGCGCCAAGAGCACCUCGGGAUCAUACAAAGCUGAGAGCUUAGAGUUCAACUCAUCAGAAGCUGAGCUCAGAGGUCAGAUUAGUCCAGCUCGGACAGCAUGACUUGAGAGCUCGGCCAGCUAAAGGAAACUCAGAGCUCAUUUCACUAAGCAAAGACAGAACUCUCGGGUCGGUUAGCCCAGCUCGGACAACAUGACCUGAGAGCCCGGCCGGAUGAAGGAGACUCAAAGCUCAAUUCAUCGAAGUAAAGACCGAGCUCACAGGUCGGUCAGACAGUCCAGUUCGGAAACUUGAAAGCCCAGUUGGCUAAGUGGAUCCGGAGUUCAACUCAUCAGAGCUCGCAGAUAUGGUUAGAUCAGCUCGGAAAAAAGCAGGACAGAGCUCAGUUGGUUAAAAUUAUAAGGCGAGCAAUCUAAAGUAUUUCACACAUGAUAAAGGAAGAACAGCUUGAGCAUGAGAGCAGAACAAGAACUUCAUUAAAAGAAAAGUACAUUACAGCACGUUACAAAGGCCUAC